GCUCUCUCAGGAUCACACCUGGAGAGUUUCCAGGACUCUACCACUCUUGGCUACAGGAGAGAGAGUCAAGCAGAGACAUACCCAUUCCAUUUCUAGCUUGGACAGUGGCUAGCAAGUAGAAGGCAAUCUGCUACAAGU